rnacentral:rRNA from 1 species
CAGCAGCCGCGGUAAUACGGAGGGUGCAAGCGUUAAUCGGAAUUACUGGGCGUAAAGCGCACGCAGGCGGUCUGACAAGUCAGAUGUGAAAUCCCCGGGCUUAACCUGGGAACUGCAUUUGAAACUGUCAGGCUGGAGUCUUGUAGAGGGGGGUGGAAUUCCAGGUGUAGCGGUGAAAUGCGUAGAGAUCUGGAGGAAUACCGGUGGCGAAGGCGGCCCCCUGGACAAAGACUGACGCUCAGGUGCGAAAGCGUGGGGAGCAAACAGGAUUAGAUACCCGCGUAGUCCCUGUCUCUUAUAA